rnacentral:rRNA from 1 species
UGUGAAGAAGGUCUUCGGAUUGUAAAGCACUUUAAGUUGGGAGGAAGGGCAGUAAGUUAAUACCUUGCUGUUUUGACGUUACCGACAGAAUAAGCACCGGCUAACUCUGUGCCAGCAGCCGCGGUAAUACAGAGGGUGCAAGCGUUAAUCGGAAUUACUGGGCGUAAAGCGCGCGUAGGUGGUUCGUUAAGUUGGAUGUGAAAGCCCCGGGCUCAAC